rnacentral:misc_RNA from 1 species
AACGCACCUUGCGCCCUUUGGUAUUCCGAGGGGCAUGCCUGUUUGAGUGUCAUUAAAUACCAUCAACCCUCUUUUGACUUCGGUCUCGAGAGUGGCUUGGAAGUGGAGGUCUGCUGGAGCCUAACGGAGCCAGCUCCUCUUAAAUGUAUUAGCGGAUUUCCCUUGCGGGAUCGCGUCUCCGAUGUGAUAAUUUCUACGUCGUUGACCAUCUCGGGGCUGACCUAGUCAGUUUCAAUAGGAGUCUGCUUCUAACCGUCUCUUGACCGAGACUAGCGACUUGUGCGCUAACUUUUGACUUGACCUCAAAUCAGGUAGGACUACCCGCUGAACUUAA